UCCUUUCUUUCCAUCUUAUAGGAAGGAAGGAGAACUGUUCCGGACUGUGGUGGCAAACCUAGAACACCAAGUGGCAGAAAUUUCCCAAGAGAAUAAAAAGCUGAAACAGAUCUUAGGCAGGAUGGACAGGGAUGUGAUCAGGCUGCUGAGCUUCCCCCAGAAUGAGCCUUCUGAUGAUGAUGGACAAGUAGCUACAGUUGACAAUGGUGAUGUAAUAUGGAGACACUGGAAUUCCCUCAAGAAGGAGGUGGAAAGAAUGAAGGGAAAUGCCCCAGAAGAAUACCUCUGCAGGGACCCCAUGAGUAUCAUCACAGACCAGGAUAAAGAGCUGGCUCAGCUGCGUCAGGAGAUCCAGCAGAGUCGGCAACUGAUUGUGUGGCAACAGCAGUGUUUCCAGGACCAGAUAAACCAAGCAGAGGAACUUCCCCAAGACAUCACCGGCUCAUAUUUCUUGGAGGAACAGUUGCAGCUUCAGGAGGCCAAGACAGUGUUCGCUCAGCAGCAGGCUAACUUUGAGCUGGAACGGCGUCGUUUUACGGAAGCUGCCAUCCGUCUGGGUCAUGAACGUCGCUGCUUUGAGCAGGAACGCGCCGUGUUCAUGAAGGACUGGCUGCUUCAACAACAGCGGAGUCAUUCCCUAGAGAGUCCACAGCUCUGUCCAGAUUUAUCAGCUCCUCAGACCCCAGAGCAACAGCUACGCCCAAAGAGUCCUGGGAUCACUCUCUUUUCCAUAAGUCACAAAAAGUUGGACAGAAAUGGUCCUGGCAAAGAAGCUUACUGGUAACCCCCCAGCAUAUAGACUCUUUAAGAAGUUUCCAGUUGGUAGGUGUGGAUAGAGGAUAACUUGGAAGGGUGGUGUGUGUGUGUGUGUGUGUGUGUGUGUGUGUGUGUGUGUGUGUGUGUUUUCGUUCACGCAUGCGCUGGGGGUUAUAAUACAAUGGGAUUGGAACAAAAGAAGAUUGAAUUUCUUUCCCAGAAUACCCUGUGGUCUUUUACAGGCAUGAUGGACAUAACAUUUAACAUUCUAGACCAUUUUGUUUUUUGGAUGGCUUUCUCCAAUAAUCAAUUGUCUUUAUGCAAAAAGUGGAUGUGAAGAUGCACAAUGUCUUUUUAUUUGGGGGGGGGAUCAAAAGGGCAUUUUAACCACUGUGUAUGUCAAUAAAGAAAUGAG
rnacentral:lncRNA from 1 species